GUGAAGUUGGAAUUGCUGGUAAUCGCGGAUCAGCAUGCCGCGGUGAAUACGUUCCCGGGCCUUGUACACACCGCCCGUCAAACCAUGGAAGUCGAUAAUGCCCGAAGUCAGUAGCCUAACCGCAAGGAGGGCGCUGCCGAAGGCAGGAUUGAUGACUGGGGUUAAGUCGUAACAAGGUAGC
rnacentral:rRNA from 1 species